UGUAAAGGUGAAGGAAUUGGGGUGAUCUGAGGUGUAAAGGUGAAGGAAUUGGGAUGAUCUGAGGUGUAAAGGUGAAGGAAUUGGGGCGAUCUGAGGUGUGAAGGAUUUGGGAUGAUCUAAGGUGUAAAGGUGAAGGAAUUGGGAUGAUCUGAGGUGUAAAGGAAUUGGGGUGAUCUGAGGUGUAAAGGUGAAGGGAUUGGGAUGAUCUGAGGUGUGAAGGUGAAGGAAUUGGGAUGAUCUGAGGUGUGAAGGAAUUGGGAUGAUCCGAGGUGUAAAGGUGAAGGAAUUGGGAUGAUCCGAGGUGUAAAGGUGAAGGAAUUGGGGUGAUCUGAGAUGUGAAGGCAUUUGGGUGAUCUGAGGUGUGAAGGUGAAGGAAUUGGGAUGAUCUGAGGUGUGAAGGUGAAGUAAUUGGGGUGAUCUGAGGUGUGAAGGAAUUGGGAUGAUCUAAGGUGUAAAGGUGAAGGAAUUGGGAUGAUCUGAGGUGUAAAGGAAUUGGGGUGAUCUGAGGUGUAAAGGUGAAGGGAUUGGGAUGAUCUGAGGUGUAAGGGUAAAGGAAUUGGGAUGAUCUGAGAUGUGAAGGAAUUGGGGUGAUCUGAGAUGUGAAGGAAUUGGGGUGAUCUGAGGUGUGAAGGAAUUGGGAUGAUCUGAGGUGUAAAGGUGAAGGAAUUGGGAUGAUCUGAGGUGUAAAGGUGCAGGAAUUGGGGUGAUCUGAGGUGUAAAGGUGCAGGAAUUGGGGUGAUCUGAGGUGUAAAGGUGAAGGAAUUGGGAUGACCUGAGGUGUAAAGGUGAAGGAAUUGGGGUGAUCUGAGGUGUAAAUUACAUUUAAGGAAUUGGGAUGACCUGAGGUGUAAAGGUGCAGGAAUUGGGAUGAUCUGAGGUGUGAAGGAAUUGGGAUGAUCUGAGGUGUGAAGGUGAAGGAAUUG